rnacentral:rRNA from 1 species
UACGGAGGGGGCUAGCGUUGUUCGGAAUCAUUGGGCGUAAAGGGCGCGUAGGCGGCCGAUCAAGUCGGAGGUGAAAUCCCUCGGCUCAACUGAGGAAUUGCCUUCGAUACUGUUCGGCUUGAGUCCUGGAGAGGGUAGCGGAAUUCCCGGUGUAGCGGUGAAAUGCGUAGAUAUUGGGAAGAACACCGGUGGCGAAGGCGGCUCUCUGGACCGAGACUGACGCUGAGGCGCGAAAGCGUGGGGAGCAAACAGG